UCCUACGGGGGGCUGCAGUCGGGAAUUUUGCUCAAUGGGCGAAAGCCUGAAGCAGCAACGCCGCGUGAGGGAUGAAGGCCUUCGGGUUGUAAACCUCUUUUCUCAGGGACGAUGAUGACGGUACCUGAGGAAUAAGCCACGGCUAACUACGUGCCAGCAGCCGCGGUAAUACGUAGGUGGCAAGCGUUGUCCGGAUUUACUGGGCGUAAAGAGCGCGCAGGCGGUCGUGCAAGUCGAGUGUGAAAGCCCCCGGCUCAACUGGGGAGGGUCACUCGAUACUGCUCGACUCGAAGGCGGGAGAGGGAAGUGGAAUUCCCGGUGUAGUGGUGAAAUGCGUAGAUAUCGGGAGGAACACCAGUGGCGAAGGCGACUUCCUGGCCCGUUCUUGACGCUGAGGCGCGAAAGCUAGGGGAGCAAACGGGAUUAGAUACCCGUGUAGUCA
rnacentral:rRNA from 1 species